GACAACGUCCAUACCACAUUAAAAACACUGGUUGUCGUCCGAUCACCGAAGUCAAGCAA
rnacentral:rRNA from 1 species